UACGUAGGCAGCAAGCGUUGUUCGGAGUUACUGGGCGUAAAGCGCGUGUAGGCGGUCGUGCAAGUCGGGUGUGAAAGCCCCAGGCUCAACCUGGGAAGUGCAUUCGAUACUGCGCGACUGGAGUCCCGGAGAGGAUGGUGGAAUUCUCGGUGUAGAGGUGAAAUUCGUAGAUAUCGAGAGGAACACCGGUGGCGAAGGCGGCCAUCUGGACGGUGACUGACGCUGAGACGCGAAAGCGUGGGGAGCAAACAGG
rnacentral:rRNA from 1 species